CCUACGGGAGGCAGCAGUGAGGAAUAUUGGUCAAUGGGCGCGAGCCUGAACCAGCCAAGUCGCGUGAGGGAAGACGGUCCUAUGGAUUGUAAACCUCUUUUGUCGGGGAGCAAAAGACGCCACGUGUGGCGUUCCGAGAGUACCCGAAGAAAAAGCAUCGGCUAACUCCGUGCCAGCAGCCGCGGUAAUACGGAGGAUGCGAGCGUUAUCCGGAUGUAUUGGGUUUAAAGGGUGCGCAGGCGGAAGAUCAAGUCAGCGGUAAAAUUGAGAGGCUCAACCUCUUCGAGCCGUUGAAACUGGUUUUCUUGAGUGAGCGAGAAGUAUGCGGAAUGCGUGGUGUAGCGGUGAAAUGCAUAGAUAUCACGCAGAACCCCGAUUGCGAAGGCAGCAUACCGGCGCCCUACUGACGCUGAGGCACGAAAGCGUGGGUAUCGAACAGGAUUAGAUACCCGGGUAGUC
rnacentral:rRNA from 1 species